GAAAUGCGAUAAGUAAUGUGAAUUGCAGAAUUCCGUGAAUCAUCGAAUCUUUGAACGCACAUUGCGCCCUCUGGCAUUCCGGGGGGCAUGCCUGUCCGAGCGUCAUUACGCACCCUCAAGCCCGGCUUGUGUGAUGGGCCCCGGCGUCUCGUUCGCGAGACGGGCCCGAAAGGCAGCGGCGGCGUCGACCCGAUGAGCCCGAGCGUAGUAACUAAAACGUCUCGCUCUGGCUCGCUGGGCGCGCUCCGGCCGUAAAACACCCCCCCUUUUCGCAAAGGUUGACCUCGGAUCAGGUAGGAAUACCCGCUGAACUUAAGC
rnacentral:misc_RNA from 1 species